rnacentral:lncRNA from 1 species
UGGUUCCAAAGGUGGUUUUUACUCAUUUUUGGGGUUUUUCUCUUCAUUUCUUUUCCGAUUGAUCCAAGGUAUGGGGGUUUCUAUGUUUUCUUAAUGAGUUAUGUCAUGUUGAGGCUGAAAUUGGGAUGUGUGGGAGUUGGGAAAACUCAUUGAGUCAUUAAACUGAUUCUGUUAUGUUUUGUAUUUUUGGGCUGAGAGUAAUUUUGAAUUUUCAUUUAUUUUUGGGACUAUGUUUUUCAUAAGUUGGACAUGUCCAAACAUUUUCAUACCGUCUCGAACCAUUAAAAAUAAUAUCAAGUCAUUUUGACCACGGCAACUAUUUUAUUUCUAAUUUUUAUUGCAAAAAUGAUGUUUUGUACUGAGACAGUUUUUGUUUUUUAAUUAUUUGUGAUUUUUUGUUUGAGAAACUGUUUUAAUCAUAGCAUGAAAUGACCCUAGGAAGUAUCUGUAAAAAUUGGAUAAGCCUUAUUGUGCGUGAAGUUGAAAAACAUGGCAUUUUCAGAAGUUAACUUUAAUUGGGGGAAAUUACUUUUUGGAACAAAAAAACUGUGGUUUCUUAUUUUAUUAUGGAUCUCUGUACCAUUAGAAACAUGUGUGAUUUUUCUGGAAUUUUAGAUAAUUAGUUUACCAUUUUUUCCUCAAUAAAUGUUAUAUUCCGGGGCAGCCAAGAAAAAGAAUUGUUGUAAAAAUAUUUGUGGUGUGAAUUUGAACCUCUAGGAUUUAUAUGUUAUGGUUAAUAUGUUGAGGAUGAUGCCUGUUAAGUUUUGUAAGAAACAAUAUUUUAGAAAAAUGAAAAAUUGUAACAUUUUGCAUGUGCACAUAUUUGAUAAUUAAAUACAAAUAAAUAUUAUCUGUAUGGAAAAUGGCAUGAGGAAUUUUUAAGUUUCACUAAUUUCGGAGCUAAUUUGAUAUUUUUAAAAUUUUCAUGUUAGAAAACUUGACAAUUAACAUAUUAAUUCUCUUAUUAGUACGAUUACUCUUGGAUAGAAUUUGCGACUCGUGUUGCUAAAUGUUGAGAUUGGUUCUAUUAUGAGAUUGUUUCUAUCAUGAGAAUGCUUCUAUUUUGAGAUUACUUUUACUUUGAGAUUGCUAAUAUUAUGAGGUUUGAUGUAAGCUUCAUUGGAGCUUGUAGGCCUAAGAUUUUCUUCAUCAAUGGAUUCCUUUGCUUCUUGGAGGAUGAAUGCUAGUGGAAUGGAGAAGGAAGAGAGAGAGGAGACGCCACUUCAAGGAGAAGAUGAGUUUAGAAGAAGC